GACGAACCGUGCAAACGUUGUUCGGAAUCACUGGGCUUAAAGGGCGCGUAGGCGGCCGACCUAGUCAGUGGUGAAAUCCUGCAGCUUAACUGUAGAAGUGCCAUUGAUACUGGCCGGCUCGAGGGAGGUAGGGGUAUGUGGAACUUCUGGUGGAGCGGUGAAAUGCGUUGAUAUCAGAAGGAACGCCGGUGGCGAAAGCGACGUACUGGACCUCUUCUGACGCUGAGGCGCGAAAGCUAGGGGAGCAAACGGG
rnacentral:rRNA from 1 species